AUGAACGCUAGCUACAGGCUUAACACAUGCAAGUCGAGGGGCAUCAGGAAGAAAGCUUGCUUUCUUUGCUGGCGACCGGCGCACGGGUGAGUAACACGUAUCCAACCUGCCCUUUACUCGGGGAUAGCCUUUCGAAAGAAAGAUUAAUACCCGAUGGCAUAAUGAUUCCGCAUGGUUUCAUUAUUAAAGGAUUCCGGUAAAGGAUGGGGAUGCGUUCCAUUAGGUUGUUGGUGAGGUAACGGCUCACCAAGCCUUCGAUGGAUAGGGGUUCUGAGAGGAAGGUCCCCCACAUUGGAACUGAGACACGGUCCAAACUCCUACGGGAGGCAGCAGUGAGGAAUAUUGGUCAAUGGGCGCUAGCCUGAACCAGCCAAGUAGCGUGAAGGAUGAAGGCUCUAUGGGUCGUAAACUUCUUUUAUAUAAGAAUAAAGUGCAGUAUGUAUACUGUUUUGUAUGUAUUAUAUGAAUAAGGAUCGGCUAACUCCGUGCCAGCAGCCGCGGUAAUACGGAGGAUCCGAGCGUUAUCCGGAUUUAUUGGGUUUAAAGGGAGCGUAGGUGGACUGGUAAGUCAGUUGUGAAAGUUUGCGGCUCAACCGUAAAAUUGCAGUUGAUACUGUCAGUCUUGAGUACAGUAGAGGUGGGCGGAAUUCGUGGUGUAGCGGUGAAAUGCUUAGAUAUCACGAAGAACUCCGAUUGCGAAGGCAGCUCACUGGACUGCAACUGACACUGAUGCUCGAAAGUGUGGGUAUCAAACAGGAUUAGAUACCCUGGUAGUCCACACAGUAAACGAUGAAUACUCGCUGUUUGCGAUAUACAGUAAGCGGCCAAGCGAAAGCAUUAAGUAUUCCACCUGGGGAGUACGCCGGCAACGGUGAAACUCAAAGGAAUUGACGGGGGCCCGCACAAGCGGAGGAACAUGUGGUUUAAUUCGAUGAUACGCGAGGAACCUUACCCGGGCUUAAAUUGCAGUGGAAUGAUGUGGAAACAUGUCAGUGAGCAAUCACCGCUGUGAAGGUGCUGCAUGGUUGUCGUCAGCUCGUGCCGUGAGGUGUCGGCUUAAGUGCCAUAACGAGCGCAACCCUUAUCUUUAGUUACUAACAGGUCAUGCUGAGGACUCUGGAGAGACUGCCGUCGUAAGAUGUGAGGAAGGUGGGGAUGACGUCAAAUCAGCACGGCCCUUACGUCCGGGGCUACACACGUGUUACAAUGGGGGGUACAGAAGGCAGCUAGCGGGUGACCGUAUGCUAAUCCCAAAAGCCUCUCUCAGUUCGGAUCGAAGUCUGCAACCCGACUUCGUGAAGCUGGAUUCGCUAGUAAUCGCGCAUCAGCCACGGCGCGGUGAAUACGUUCCCGGGCCUUGUACACACCGCCCGUCAAGCCAUGGGAGCCGGGGGUACCUGAAGUACGUAACCGCAAGGAGCGUCCUAGGGUAAAACUGGUGACUGGGGCU
rnacentral:rRNA from 1 species